rnacentral:misc_RNA from 1 species
CUUCACUCAAGCCUUUUCUUUUCAUCGACCGCUUUCGGCAGUUGCCAACCGACACGAAAAGUGCUUCACAGCAAUGCCCGUCAUUGGCUACAACUGUGAUAGCGGCGCUGUGGUGGAAGUUGUAAACCCUGCAAGUGGGGCGCUUGGGUUUGCAGGGAAAACUGUCAUCCCCGGCGGCAUCGUCUCGGCAGCCUCCGCAGGCGAUGGAGUUCUUUACUACCUCCCAAUGUCGUCUCCCUCGAUGCUGCAUCGACGCGACUUGGAGAGCGGGGCGGAUGAGAUCGUCGAGAGUUUAGCUCGCGCGCACACGCAGGUUUUUUUUCACCGCAACAAGGUCAUGUGCAUUUCCGCCGGGAGCACCGAGGUGGUCGUGUAUGACCCGCUCUGCAGUGUGACUGAGAUUAUCUCUCUCCCGUACCGUCUUGUUCGCGCCGAGCCGGCCGACCACGGCUUCGCCUUUCUUAGCGACUGCAACAGGGUGUUCGGCUACGAUUUUAACAACGGCCUGACAGAGGUGAUCGGCGGGGGUAGCAUAACGAGCUUUCUGGGCCACUACAAGCAGUACGCUGUUGCGCUGCUUCACGACGGCAAGGAGCGUGUGGUGGGCGUCACUGAGGCCGGAAGCAUCGUAGAGCUGGAUGCGGGGUUGCCACGUGUGCCGUUCACGUCGUUGGAUGAUGUCGUUCUCCACACAAGCAACAAUGAAGUGGUGUCCUCGAAGGGUGGAAGUGCGGCAUCACCUGUCGGGGAAGUCCACCUUUCGAGCUCGCAGCCAACUGAUAGCGAGGUCCUGUGCACCGUUUGCUUGUGCGAGUUCGAUGGUGAAGACGGUAUCACCUUGGACUGCGGGCACUACUUUCACAAAGAGUGCAUUGAGCAAUGGGUGGGCAACUGGAUGGACUUCGCGGCGAAGGGUGAGCACGUGAAGUUUACCCGCGCUGUCUGCCCUGGCGGGUGCAAGCACUUGGUUCGCCACCCUAUGCUGGCACAAUCGAAGCAGAUCAGCGAUUUGUACACGGAGGUGACUGCGAAGAAGGCGGAGCAGCUGAAGCACUUUGAUGCGACAAAGGCCGAGCACGAAUUCCUUUUCUAUCUCUGCGGCAGGUGCGGCGGCGCGUUCUACGGCGGCGAUCAGGUGUGCUCACGGAUGCAGGGGCACGAACCGUCGUCUUCCCCGCAAGAGCUGAUCUGCGAUACUUGCCUAAGAAAGGACCACAGAACAUGUGACACGCUGACGGCCGUCUUCAAGUGCCGCUACUGUUGCAAUCCCGCCACACAGCGAUCGUUCGGCACUCGUUUCAUGUGCGAUCGGUGCAUUGCGCGGUGGGACACCGCCGAGCCUGCGCUCAUUCCGUGCCCGGGAGCGGACAGCUGCCCGUUUCACGGAAAUCACCCGGAGCCGGCGUGCGACAUUGCGGCCUGUCUGACGUGUCUCGAUCCGGCCAUGGUGAGCCAUAUUUUUGAUCGAGUGGCGGGAGCUGCUGACGGUGCAGGUGGCGGCACCGAUUAGUCCGCCGUGCACAGGACGUUGUGCUCCUCCUGUGCGAGGUGGUGGACGGUAUGCUGGAGGCAUUGUACAGGUUGCUCCUGUCUUCUGUUAUUACUGUAAGAAUGUGCUUACGCUAAUGAGCGGCUUGCGCGCGCACUAAACUGCAUCAUGGGCGCAACAAC